rnacentral:rRNA from 1 species
GACGAACGCUGGCAGCGUGCUUAACACAUGCAAGUCGAGCGAGGUCCAUCCGGUGGCAACACCGGAGAAGACCUAGCGGCGAACGGGUGAGUAACACGUGAGCAACCUGCCCCGAAGACCGGGAUAACAUCGGGAAACCGGUGCUAAUACCGGAUGCCCUCAUCGGGCCGCAUGAUCUGAUGAGGAAAUGGAUUCCGCUUCGGGAGGGGCUCGCGGGCUAUCAGCUUGUUGGUGAGGUAACGGCUCACCAAGGCUACGACGGCUAGCUGGUCUGAGAGGACGAGCAGCCACACUGGGACUGGGACACGGCCCAGACUCCUACGGGAGGCAGCAGUGGGGAAUCUUGCGCAAUGGGCGAAAGCCUGACGCAGCAACGCCGCGUGGGGGAUGAAGGCCUUCGGGUCGUAAACCCCUUUCAGCAGGGACGAAACUGACGGUACCUGCAGAAGAAGCCCCGGCCAACUACGUGCCAGCAGCCGCCGCGGUAA